UGCCAAUGAUGGUUAAGAAUUUCUUCAUCUGAAUAAACCAUGUGGCAGUUUUGUAUCUGAGGUAA